GUAAAUAUUACGUUUUGCUAUAUGUUUUAGGAACAAAAUUAACAACAUCAUAUUAAUAAUAUACGUCGUUGAAAGUCGGAAUAUCUAUAAAGAAGUUAAUAAGGACUAAUUAUAAUGUUUUUUAUUGCUACGCUUCUUAUAUCGGACGUUUGCUUGAACAACGUUGCAGCAGACAUAAAAAGAUAUUACUUGGCUUCAGCUUGUGAUGAUAGUAUAAACCUAAUAAACAAUGAUAGCAUCCUUCUGACGUUGAUUCACCCAGGUAGACAUGAAUUGUUGUCAGACAAUUACGUCAUCUAAAGCCGGAGACCAAAUCAUGCUUUACUUUAAGUUUAUCGAUAUUGCAUGGAGCCACGAGUGUGCAAAUGAUUGGAUAGAAUUGCAUGACGGAUUGGGUCUUAAUUCACCUUAUGUGUCAGGUAUGAAACCGCAGUACAAGCCAGAAUAUUAUUUACUUUUGAUAAGAUGUCGAUCGUUUGGAAAUAUUUAGAGGGUGCUUUAUUUAUAAUACGCUUUCAUUUUUAGUCAUAAAAGCUCAUUGACAUCCUCAAACAGUCCGGGGAAUUUUAUCUAUUCUAUGUAAAAUGUCCGUUUUUAAUAAAUAAGACUUUGAAGUAAUUCUGUCCACUUCGAAGAAAGGGGACUGUAUUGGUUUUCACCUGUCGGUCGCGUAAGUCGGUAUGUUGGUUGGUCUAUCUGAUCGUCUGUCGGUAGAGUGAACGAUUUCUGGCCAAUUGCUUAUAAACCACUCAACCCAGAAUAUUCAAACUUGGUAUCAUGGUUGGGUUUAUAGAGUAACUGCUCCCUAAAAUCUUUUGGGUCGGUAGGUCAAAGGUCAAGGUUACAGGCACCCAAUAACUUCAGAAUCUUUUGACCUAGAACCUUCAAACUUAGUAGCAUGAUAGCGCUUAUAAAGUGAUGAAUCCUUAUGUUUUGGGGGUCAGAAGGUCAAUGGUCAAGGUCACAAAGGCCUGGAAUUUUGAAACAGUUUCCGUUCCUGACAACCAUUUGAUUCGUAACCUUAAAUUUGGCAACAUGAUUAGGCUUAUGAAGUAGAUGAGCCUGUUGUUUUGGGUGUCAGAAGGCCAAUGGUCAAAGUCACAUGCGCCUGAACUCCGAUCAGUAACUUGAGAACCACUCGACCCAGAACUUUCAAACUUGACAGCAUUAUUGGGCUUAUAAGUAGAUGACUCCUAUAGUUUUUGGCUUCAGUAAGUAAAACAUCAAGGUCACAGGAACCUGAACACGAUUUCCUCUCAAUAACAUGAGAACUACUCGACCCAGAACCAUCGGACUUAAUAGCAUGAUUGGGCUUAUAAAGUUGAUGACCCUGAUUAUGUUGGAAGGUCAAGGACGCACAGAUCAAAUUUCAAUGUCACAGGUGCCUGGAUCUUAAAACUGAGUGAAACAGUUUCCACUCAAUCACUUGGGAACCACUUGGCCCAGUAUCUUCAAUCUUGAUUGGACUUAUGAAGUUGAUGAUCCUUAUUGUUUUGGAUGUUAGUUGGUCAAAGGUCAUGGUAUUGAUCACGGGGCUAACAAUAGGACAACUCCUCAAAGUGGGUAUGCGUGUAACAAACAGCUCUUGUUCUGUAUUUAAGAGACGUCUACCUUUGCGUUUCCAAAAUGGCCGAUCAAAUCUUAAAUAUGUUUUGUAUGCAAUACAACAGUUGAUGUAAAUUGUAAUAUUGACGUUAUUAUACAGUCAUAUAUCUUCAGAUAUUUCGAAAAAUACAUUUGCAGUAUCAUUCAUUUAUACAUGCUUUUUAACGAAGCCACUGUAAAAUAUAAUACAGGUUUAAUGGGAAAUCUCUGUGGCAACCGCACAAACAACACCGUAUAUUCUAAAAGUGCCAACAACCUUUUCGUUCGUUUCAAGAGUGGAUGGUCAGUCGCAUAUCAAGGGUUUGACCUGGUAUUAACACGAUACCACACAGGUAUAUGUAAUGUAAUAUAUGAUAAAUGCCAUGAUAAACAGAGUGGCCAACCCACCUGACCUUUGGAUACCGUACACACGGAGAAAACGUCCCGAUUCAGAUAACACUUC
rnacentral:lncRNA from 1 species